rnacentral:misc_RNA from 1 species
UCAAAUUACAUUUUCUUGGCUGUUGGAAGGGUUGGUUCUAGUACUGAUUUAAUUAUUCAAAGAGUUGAAUAUGUUCAUGAGACUGACAAGAGAAGCCAUCUCAUGGACCUUCUUCAUGCACAAAGAGAAACGGAAAUUCAUGGCAAGGUAAUAAAUAUUAUUUGCUGCCUGUGGAAGUUUGAUAUGGUUUAUAUGUUCUGUUCUAUUGCAGUUACUGGUGAUUUUAUCUGUUCAUAUGAAUUAGGAAUGCCCUGAGUUAUGCCGUUGGCGUCUUUCCAACUUGGUUUAAUUACAAAUUUAGCUGCUUAAAUUUGAUUAUCUAGGUAAAGCCUUAAAUGAUAAAAUGGCAAUAAGACUAGAGGGGGCAAAAAAGAAAAUGUGGCAAACAGAGCAACAAUUUAUCAUGAGUGAAAAGUGAGAAUAAGACGGAACCAUGAGGAAUGGAAGGACAGAGUAAACAGUCCAAAAAAAAAAAAAAACUAACAAAACAGAUUGAAAAAAGAAAAUAAGUAACAG